AUGAAUGACCCUCUGGGCCUUCAACCCCAAAAAACCGUGGAAUCGACCCGUGCUUCGACGCCCCCGUGGCGUCGUAUUAAUGCAAUAUCAUCUGUGUCUGAAUCUGAUCUAGAAUUA
rnacentral:misc_RNA from 1 species